rnacentral:rRNA from 1 species
ACGGGGGCCCGCACAAGCGGAGGUACAUGUGGUUUAAUUCGAUGAUACGCGAGGAACCUUACCUGGGCUUAAAUGCAGAUCGACGUCCGCCGAUAGGCAGAUUCCCUUCGGGGCGGAUUGCAAGGUCCUGCAUGGUAGUCGUCAGCUCGUUCCGUGAGGUGUCGGGUUAAGUCCCAUAACGAGCGCAUACCCUUAUUGUUAGUUACCAGCGGGUAAUGCCGGGGACUUUGUCGAAUCUGCCGGUGUAAACCGUGAGGUAGGUGUGGAUUACGUCUAAUCAGCACGGCCUGUACGUCCAGGGUUACACACGUGUUACGAUGGCCGGUCACAAAGGGCAGAUACCUGGUCACAGGAUGCUAAUCUAGAAAGCCGGUUUCAGUUGGGAUUGAACUCUGCAACUCGACGGUCAUGUAGUUGGAUUAGCUAGUAAUCGCGCAUCAGCCACGGUCUGGUGAUACGUUCCCGGGCCUUGUAUACACCGCCCGUCAAUCCUUGGUAGCCGGGGGUACCUGAAGUCUAUAACCGGAAGGG